rnacentral:rRNA from 1 species
GACGAACGCUGGCGGCGUGCUUAACACGUGCAAGUCGAACGGAAAGGCCCUGCUUUUGUGGGGUGCUCGAGUGGCGAACGGGUGAGUAACACGUGAGUAACCUGCCCUUGAUUUUGGGAUAACUUCAGGAAACUGGGGCUAAUACCGGAUAGGAGCUCCUGCUGCAUGGUGGGGGUUGGAAAGUUUCGGCGGUUGGGGAUGGACUCGCGGCUUAUCAGCUUGUUGGUGGGGUAGUGGCUUACCAAGGCUUUGACGGGUAGCCGGCCUGAGAGGGUGACCGGCCACAUUGGGACUGAGAUACGGCCCAGACUCCUACGGGAGGCAGCAGUGGGGAAUACUGCACAAUGGGCGGAAGCCUGAUGCAGCAACGCCGCGUGCGGGAUGACGGCCUUCGGGUUGUAAACCGCUUUCGCCUGUGACGAAGCGUGAGUGACGGUAAUGGGUAAAGAAGCACCGGCUAACUACGUG